rnacentral:rRNA from 1 species
CCUACGGGGGGCAGCAGUGGGGGAUAUUGCACAAUGGGGGAAACCCUGAUGCAGCGAUGCCGCGUGAGUGAAGACGGCCUUCGGGUUGUAAAGCUCUGUCGCAGGGGACGAAAAUGACGGUACCCUGCAAGAAAGCUCCGGCUAACUACGUGCCAGCAGCCGCGGUAAUACGUAGGGGGCGAGCGUUAUCCGGAAUUACUGGGUGUAAAGGGAGCGUAGACGGCGAGGUAAGCCUGAAGUGGAAGCCCGCGGCCCAACCGCGGCACUGCUUUGGGAACUGUUUUGCUGGAGUAUGGGAGGGGUAA